AGUCCUGUGUUCACAGAGUUUCCUAAUCCUGAAACCAGCAAUCACAAAGUCAGUUUCUCAUCAAGAAAUCAAAGUAGUUCAUUUUUGAUACAAUCAUAUUUUCAGGCUAAAGAGAAGGUUGGGAAGGUCAGGCGUUAGAAUGCUGGAGGAGUGUCCUUGGCAGAGAAGAUAGAAUCUUCAACUCAGAAGCACCAGUCUCUCUCAUUUGAGAAAAGGAUGAGAAGGAAGGAAUGGCCUGACUUCCUCAUGUGUGCCCUGAUUCUUGGUAGGCACCAUGUUGGGGCUGCCACACAUGUGCUGAAGCUUUGGGAAUGUUCCAUUUAAAUACCGAUUUCAAGGCCAAUGCCUUACAUGGAGCACAAAUAUCCAGAGUGCAGUCUUCAGACAUACAGAACUGUUCAGGAGUUUUCCAACGGAGGACGAAUCCUAGCAUAUGUCACAAGAAGCUUGACAUGGAAAGGACUCUACAUCCAUUAGGCUUAAUCAACAUCCUACAUCCAUCGAAGAGUAUGUCUUCCUUUUGAAAGAUAUUUUCACUGGACAUCGAAUUCUGGGUUGACACUUUUCUUCUUCCAGUGCCUUCCAUUGUGAGCCCUGGUCCCCCGGCCUCUGCCAUCAGUCAUAGCACUGUCUCCUGGAGGGAAUGCAUCUCUUCUCUCACGCUGAUUUUAAGAUUGUCAUUUUAUUUGCAGCAUGAUCACCAUUAUGUGCCCAGAAACUUUGGAUUGGAUAACAGAAAUUGUGGCUGAUACACUGAGAAGUCUGGACAGUUCUUCACUUACUCUGUUUUCACUGAAAUCUCAUGCUAUCCUAUGCAGAAGCUGUAAUUGUUCCAGUUUACAGAUAAGCAAACUGAGCCUCAUGUUUGCUAAAGGACCUGCCCCACAUUACACAGUUAACAUGUGGUAACGCUGCCACUCAAAGCAAGACUUUCUGCUGUUAUCUUGUUGGCUAGAUUUGUCCAGUUGGAGGUGCUCUGGCCAGACCAUCCCUGUGCACACGCUGCUGAAAUUUAUCCUGCGGGCCAAGAUUCUGCUUCCUCUGAGAGGGGACGGAGGCCCGCGUGGCCCUCUGCUGUUCCAUGGGUGGGGGCGGGGCACAGAGC